rnacentral:lncRNA from 1 species
GUCACUUAAUUAAAAAUCUUAAUUUCUUCUCUAUUCUCUUCUUCUCGGGCGGCGACAUUCAUCUUCUUCCCAACAACAUUCUUCUUCUUUUCAUCAAACCCAAUUCUUUCCAACAACCAACAUAACUCAGAUUUGAUUAUUAAAAAUCUCAAUUUCCUCUCUCAAGAACACAACACAACACAACAUCAACCAACAACAACACGCUGCAACGCUGCUACAAUACAAACUCAUUCAAAUCUGAAUCCGAAAAUGGGUUGUUAUUGUGAUGUUGUUGUUGAUUGAAUCCGAAAAUGAGUUGUUUGUGUAUUGUUGUUGUUGUUGAUUGGAUCCAAUACAAACUCAUUCAAAUCUGAAUCCGAAAAUGGGUUGUUAUUGUGAUGUUGUUGUUGAUUGAAUCCGAAAAUGAGUUGUUUGUGUAUUGUUGUUGUUGUUGAUUGGAUCCAAUACAAACUCAUUCAAAUCUGAAUCAACGAUUCAAGUACGAAUUCGAAUCUGAUGGUGGUUUGUGGUGGUGAGGAGGAAGGAGAAAUAAGAAGAAUGGUAGAAAAGGAGUGAGUAAGAGAAGGAUGAAGAGAAGAAGAAUGAGGGAGUAAGAAAUGGGAACGCUGUAGAAGGAGAGGACAGAAAAGAAGAUGAAGUUUUUUUUUUUAUUUUUUUUUUAUGUUCUAAGUUAAUUAAAUUAAGUUAUUUUUAUUAAAAUAAAUUUAAAUGGAACAAACAAAAUUGAAAAAGAAUUUUGUUAAAAAAAAUUUGGGAUUUUUUAAUUUAACAUUAG